rnacentral:rRNA from 1 species
CGAAAAGCUCCGGGGAGGCGGCAAAUAUCCUUUGAUCCGGAGAUGUCUGAAUGGGGGAACCCACCUACUUUAAGGUAGGUAUUGCAACAUGAAUACAUAGUGUUGCAAGGCGAACGAGGGGAAGUGAAACAUCUCAGUACCCUUAGGAAAAGAAAUCAAUUGAGAUUCCCUCAGUAGCGGCGAGCGAACGGGGAUCAGCCCAUUAAGUUAUGUGUGUUUUAGUGGAACGCUCUGGGAAGUGCGAACGUAGAGGGUGAUAUUCCCGUACACGAAAGGGCACACAUAAUGAUGACGAGUAGGGCGAGGCACGUGAAACCUUGUCUGAAUAUGGGGGGACCAUCCUCCAAGGCUAAAUACUCCUGACUGACCGAUAGUGAACCAGUACCGUGAGGGAAAGGCGAAAAGAACCCCUGUGAGGGGAGUGAAAUAGAUCCUGAAACCGCAUGCAUACAAGCAGUGGGAGCACCUUCGUGGUGUGACUGCGUACCUUUUGUAUAAUGGGU